GUUUGAAUAGUGUAGUGGUUAUCACGCGUCCUUCACACGGACGAGGUCCCGGGUUCAAACCCCGGUUCAAGCA
rfam:Neocallimastix californiae strain G1 LY90scaffold_221, whole genome shotgun sequence.